CAGGACGAACGCUGGCGGCGUGCUUAACACAUGCAAGUCGAACGAUGAAGCCCUUCGGGGUGGAUUAGUGGCGAACGGGUGAGUAACACGUGGGCAAUCUGCCCUUCACUCUGGGACAAGCCCUGGAAACGGGGUCUAAUACCGGAUAAUACUUUCCUCCUCCUGGAGGAAGGUUGAAAGCUCCGGCGGUGAAGGAUGAGCCCGCGGCCUAUCAGCUAGUUGGUGGGGUAAUGGCCUACCAAGGCGACGACGGGUAGCCGGCCUGAGAGGGCGACCGGCCACACUGGGACUGAGACACGGCCCAGACUCCUACGGGAGGCAGCAGUGGGGAAUAUUGCACAAUGGGCGAAAGCCUGAUGCAGCGACGCCGCGUGAGGGAUGACGGCCUUCGGGUUGUAAACCUCUUUCAGCAGGGAAGAAGCGAAAGUGACGGUACCUGCAGAAGAAGCGCCGGCUAACUACGUGCCAGCAGCCGCGGUAAUACGUAGGGCGCAAGCGUUGUCCGGAAUUAUUGGGCGUAAAGAGCUCGUAGGCGGCUUGUCACGUCGGUUGUGAAAGCCCGGGGCUUAACCCCGGGUCUGCAGUCGAUACGGGCAGGCUAGAGUGUGGUAGGGGAGAUCGGAAUUCCUGGUGUAGCGGUGAAAUGCGCAGAUAUCAGGAGGAACACCGGUGGCGAAGGCGGAUCUCUGGGCCAUUACUGACGCUGAGGAGCGAAAGCGUGGGGAGCGAACAGGAUUAGAUACCCUGGUAGUCCACGCCGUAAACGUUGGGAACUAGGUGUUGGCGACAUUCCACGUCGUCGGUGCCGCAGCUAACGCAUUAAG
rnacentral:rRNA from 1 species